rnacentral:rRNA from 1 species
UGGGGAGUACGGUCGCAAGAUUAAAACUCAAAUGAAUUGACGGGGGCCCGCACAAGCGGUGGAGCAUGUGGUUUAAUUCGAUGCAACGCGAAGAACCUUACCUACUCUUGACAUCUACAGAAUUCGCUAGAGAUAGCUUAGUGCCUUCGGGAACUGUAAGACAGGUGCUGCAUGGCUGUCGUCAGCUCGUGUUGUGAAAUGUUGGGUUAAGUCCCGCAACGAGCGCAACCCUUAUCCUUGUUUGCCAGCACGUAAUGGUGGGAACUCCAGGGAGACUGCCGGUGAUAAACCGGAGGAAGGUGGGGACGACGUCAAGUCAUCAUGGCCCUUACGAGUAGGGCUACACACGUGCUACAAUGGCGCAUACAGAGGGCUGCAAGCUAGCGAUAGUGAGCGAAUCCCAAAAAGUGCGUCGUAGUCCGGAUCGGAGUCUGCAACUCGACUCCGUGAAGUCGGAAUCGCUAGUAAUCGUGAAUCAGAAUGUCACGGUGAAUACGUUCCCGGGCCUUGUACACACCGCCCGUCACACCAUGGGAGUGGGCUGCAAAAGAAG